GAUGAACGCUAGCGGCAGGCUUAACACAUGCAAGUCGAGGGGCAGCGCGGGGCGGCAACGUCCUGGCGGCGACCGGCGGAAGGGUGCGUAACGCGUGAGCGACAUGCCCGUUGCCCGGGGACAACCGGUGGAAACGCCGACUAAUCCCCGAUGGGACGGAGGCCCUCAUGGGUCUCUGUUGAAAGUUACGGCGGCGACGGAUUGGCUCGCGUCCGAUUAGCUUGUUGGCGGGGUAACGGCCCACCAAGGCUACGAUCGGUAGGGGUUCUGAGAGGAAGGUCCCCCACAAUGGAACUGAGACACGGUCCAUACUCCUACGGGAGGCAGCAGUGAGGAAUAUUGGUCAAUGGGCGGAAGCCUGAACCAGCCAUGCCGCGUGCGGGAAGGAGGCCCUAUGGGCUGUGAACCGCUUUUGCCUGGGGGCAAUAAGGGCGUCGUGCACGUCCGAUGAGAGUACCAGGCGAAUAAGCAUCGGCUAACUCCGUGCCAGCAGCCGCGGUAAUACGGGGGAUGCGAGCGUUAUCCGGAUUCAUUGGGUUUAAAGGGUGCGUAGGCUGUGCGUCAAGUCAGGGGUGAAAUUCCGGGGCUCAACUCCGGGGCUGCCCUUGAUACUGUCGCGCUGGAGUGCGGAUGCCGCCGGAGGAAUGAGUGGUGUAGCGGUGAAAUGCUUAGAUAUCACUCAGAACACCGAUUGCGAAGGCAUCUGGCGAAUCCGUAACUGACGCUGAGGCACGAAAGCGUGGGGAUAGAACAGGAUUAGAUACCCUGGUAUUCCACGCCGUAAACGAUGAUGGCUAACCGCCGGCGACACACUGUCGGUGGCCAAGCGAAAGCGAUAAGCCAUCCACCUGGGGAGUACGUCGGCAACGAUGCAACUCAAAGGAAUUGACGG
rnacentral:rRNA from 2 species